rnacentral:rRNA from 1 species
CCCUUAGAUGUCCUGGGCCGCACGCGCGCUACACUGAACGGAUCAGCGCGUUUUCCCUUCCCGAGAGGGACGGGUAACCUGCUGAACCCCGUUCGUGGUAGGGAUCGGGGCUUGCAAUUAUUCCCCGUGAACCAGGAAUGCCCAGUAAGUGCAAGUCAUAAGCUUGCGUUGAUUACGUCCCUGCCCUUUGUACACACCGCCCGUCGCUACUACCGAUUGAACGUUUUAGUGAGGUACUCGGACUGAGCCUCAGAAGAUUCACGUCUUUUGUGCUGCUCGGGAAGAUUCCCAAACUGGAGCGUUUAGAGGAAGUAAAAGUCGUAACA